UCCAACUGCACUGACUGAUAAACCGGGUGCUUUAUUACUUGUUUCUACCUUGAGUGGCGAGAUUAAACUGAAUUUAAAAGACUAGCAUAAGAGGAGAAGGCAGACAGGGAAUAUUUAUGACCGUCGGAGCAGGGCUGGGUUCCUGGAGACGGGAUAACACGUGGCUUUGUGCUGCCAGACAGAGAGUUCCUUUCGGUGGUCACACCAAUGUUUGUUCAUACUCCCACGGACACCACAACUUUUUUGGAUAAGGAAGAAGAUGAUGGAACACAGAUGAGGGAAAGAAAUGGCCUCAGAGAACUUGGAUACGUGGGGUACUGGAACCUGUGAGGCACUGGGAGCUUAGGAGCAUCUUUUGGAGCCUGCUACAGGCUGGAGGCUG